CAAGGUCUUCGGCCACAACGAGAAAAAUCAACUGCUGAACCCAAGCCCAGACAUGGUGGUCCACCCGGCGCCGUCAUGCGCCAUGCUACUCCACUCACAGUUACUAGGACAACCCCAACACCUAAAAGUUGAAAAAUAAUAUCUGCCUAGUAAACAUACCGAUCAUUAAGAGCGCAGCAGUAAGGUGCGAGGAUGGAGGUCCUGCAAAGCUUGUCGCUCCUAACGCAGCUCCGCUCAAAGCACAUGCAAUGCCGCCAAGAGCCACCACAGCAAUCAAUGAACGCAACGGUGGUCCGGCAAACCAUUGACCACAGCAACCUUUUCCAGAACGUUCUGACGGAGAUCUUUCGAAUCUUGUGGAGUUGGGCGCUACUCAAAUGCUAACACUGAGCUACAAUGUGACUAACCGGUUUGACAGUAUUUUUUUGAGGAAUGAGGUGACAAAGGCGACGCGAGAACGCAUUGUGAAGAAAAGAAAAGAGAAACGAUGUUUUUGUUUGGUGCAGAUGGACAAGUUGCAAUUUGGUUUCACUGAUACACUCACAGCAGAGAUUAUAAUUUGUGGGUGUUAUACCGACCUAGGGAUUACAGGGAAAGUCUUAGCGAUGACAAUGUGAAUAGACAAGUUCAACAUAAAAAGAAAUCCGGAGCUUUGGCGACUAGAAAAUAGAUAAGUGCUUAUCGUCUUCAACUAAAACGUCCAAUACUAGCAUAACUGUUUAUUGGGUACAAUUAGAGAUUUAGUCACAGGGAAAGAACCACAUCAGAAGCAAUGCAAUUGGAAAGCUGUGGAAGUAGCUGGUGUGUGUUUAAUUUUAUCAAUUGGUUUGUAAAUUAAGCAGAAUUAAACUAGAUUUAUUUACU